UUGCAUUUCUGCUGAACUUUCACAGGUGUGUCUCAUACUCGAGCUCAUAUUUUGAGAGCCUGAACAAGCAUGAUGUUUGUGUGCAUUGUUCUCCUCUAAGUCGACUGCUUUGCAGCUUCCAUGAUCACCAUGCUUCAUUUCAUUCAUCAGCCUGUCAGCUGAGUCUGUGCACCUAUUAUUCCCACAUGAUAAUUUCACAUUUGGGUCAUCUGACUCGCAUAUUAAAGCACAGAUUUGCAAGUCUUGAGGUUUACACAUUUUUGGAAACUUUUGGUUUGAACAGCAAGGCUUUUGAUGAUGAGCUGAAUGCUCACUUUCACAUUUCUUAGUAUUUUCCACAGCUAAUGAUUUGCAGCAUUUUCCUCCAUUUUGGUGGGUUCCCCGUAAAAGCAGCAUGCUGUUAAAGAUCACUAGCAGACAAGUGCCGACAUCAGUAAGGACAGCAGCCCAAACAAGAGGGUGACCAGCAAAUGCCAAGGCAAGGAUAGCAGACUUGGUAGAUAUUGAGAGAAUGACAUUCUCGAUUACUUUCCUAUGAGCUUUUCUUGCAAGCUGGAUUGCUUUAGGUACUUUUCUAAUGUCAUUAGACAUAAGAAUGACAUGUCCUGUCUCAGUUGCAAGUGCUGAACCUGAAAUUCCCAUUGAGAUACCAAUAUCAGCUGUAGCCAAUGCAGGGGCAUCAUUUAAUCCAUCUCCAAUCAUUGCUGUUGGUCCUUCCUUCUUAAAUGUUUCCAAAAUCCUUGCCUUGUCUUCAGGCAGGAGUUCUGCAUGGACUACUUCAAGAGCAUGUCCUAGCUGUUCUUGAGCGUGCAUUGCUGCUGCUUGACUAUCUCCUGUUAGCAUAGCAGUUUUAAUGCCAUAUGACUUUAGCUCUGCGAUCGCCUCUGCAACACCAGUCCUACAGGCAUCAGAGAGGCUGAAAAUUCCAGCAGGGGUUGCUCCAGAGUACACAUAUCCAAUGGUCUUUCCUCUCUUCAUUUCCCCACUUUCUAGCUCUGGAGCUGUUCCACAUCCAGCUCUGAGAGCCAUCUUUCGAUUUCCAAUGUAAAUUUCUUUCUCAUCAAUCUUUCCAUAGAUGCCUUCUCCAGGAAAAUUCUGAAAAUCCACCACAUUCUCAGGGUUUGGCUCUACUGAAAGACUCCUUCCAUAGUCGACAAGAGCAGCGGCCAUUGGAUGACUUGACUUGCUCUCAAUGCUUGAUACCCAAUAAAGCAAUGUAUCAAUGCUCACACCUUCACAAAGAGAUUGGAAAUCUGUGACGACAAAUUCACCUUUUGUGAUAGUUCCAGUCUUAUCGAAAGCCAUUACCUUGAUCUUAGCAAGUAUUUCGAGAUAGGAUCCGCCUUUGAUCAAAACACCAGAUGUUGCAGCCCUUGUAAGUGCGCAGAAAGUUGCAACAGGUGUGGAGAGGAUAAGAGCACAUGGGCAUGCACUUACUAAAACCACCAAUGCUAAGCGAAACCAAUGCUUACGGUCAUGAACUCUUAAUGCCAAAGGAACAACUGCAAAGCUAACUGAUAUGAUUAUGACACCUGGAGUAUAAUACUGAGAAAUUUUGUCUAUAAAUCUUUGAGUUUUAGACUUGCUGCUUUGAGCUUCUUCCACAAGCUUUGCCAUUUUAGCUACCACACAGUCUUCAGCUAGAGCACUAGUUUUAAAACUAAUGUAGCCAUUNNNNNNNNNAUAGUGCCAGCCCAUACAGUAGAGUCCUUUUGUUUGGGAACUGGGAAUGAUUCUCCAGUUAAAGAUUUCUCAUCCACUUCACAAUUGCCAUCUACAACUAUUCCAUCAAUGGGUAUAGUCUCUCCAGCUUUGACUGCUAGAACAGUGUUUAAUUUUACCUCAUGAACAUCCACUUCUUCUCCAGUUUCAGCAAUGACUGCUUUCUGUGGAGC
rnacentral:misc_RNA from 1 species